rnacentral:rRNA from 1 species
GACGAACCAUCCAAACGUUAUUCGGAAUUACUGGGCUUAAAGGGUGCGUAGGCGGUGCGGAAAGUUGGGUGUGAAAUCCCUCGGCUCAACCGAGGAACUGCGCCCAAAACUACCGCACUCGAGGAAGAUAGAGGUGAGCGGAACUUACGGUGGAGCGGUGAAAUGCGUUGAUAUCGUAAGGAACACCCGUGGCGAAAGCGGCUCACUGGGUCUUUUCUGACGCUGAUGCACGAAAGCUAGGGGAGCAAACGGG